rnacentral:lncRNA from 1 species
UAGCAUUGGAGGAGCCGGUGCCUGAUGACCGCUAUCACGCCAUCUACUUUGCGAUGCUGCUGUCUGGCGUGGGCUUCCUGCUGCCAUACAACAGCUUCAUCACGGACGUGGACUACCUGCAUCACAAGUACCCAGGGACCUCCAUUGUGUUUGACGUGAGCCUCACCUACAUCUUGGUGGCGCUGGCAGCCGUGCUCCUGAACAACGUCCUGGUGGAGAGACUGACCCUGCACACCAGGAUCACCGCAAGUGCGCUGGGCCCUGCCAUGGGACACCUGCCUGUCAUGGCUCCCACCUGCCUGGCCGGUCACCCACUCACCCAGAUUCCCUGAGCCUCACUCCCCUCGUCUGUAAAAUGGACACACUUCCUAGGGCUGCCCUGGGGUCUGGUCUAAGACACCGUGGUGGGGCCUCUGUACCCCACGUCAUGUCCCUGGGCCCUGCCCAAGCUCUUCCCCACACCCAGUGUGUUCUUCCUUUCCCAUUCCUCUGCA